rnacentral:rRNA from 1 species
GACGAACGCUGGCGGCGUGCCUAAUACAUGCAAGUCGAGCGAAGUUUUUCUGGUGCUUGCACUAGAAACACUUAGCGGCGAACGGGUGAGUAACACGUAAAGAACCUGCCUCAUAGACUGGGACAACUAUUGGAAACGAUAGCUAAUACCGGAUAACAGUAUUUCUCGCAUUAGAGAUAUUUAAAAGUUGGUUAUGCUAACACUAAGAGAUGGCUUUGCGGUGCAUUAGCUAGUUGGCGGGGUAAAGGCCCACCAAGGCGACGAUGCAUAGCCGACCUGAGAGGGUGAUCGGCCACACUGGGACUGAGACACGGCCCAGACUCCUACGGGAGGCAGCAGUAGGGAAUCUUCCGCAAUGGGCGAAAGCCUGACGGAGCAACGCCGCGUGAGUGAAGAAGGAGUUCGGUUCGUAAAGCUCUGUUGUUAGGGAAGAAUGGAUAUGUAGUAACUAUACAUGUAAGAGACGGUACCUAACCAGAAAGCCACGGCUAACUACGUG